GUAGUUAGCCGGAGCUUACUUUUCAGGUACUGUCUUUUUCUUCCCUGUCUACAAUAGUUUACAAUCCUAGAACCUUCUUCCCUCACGCGGCGUUGCUGGGUCAGGCUUGCGCCCAUUGCCCAAUAUUCCCCACUGCUGCCUCCCGUAGGAGUCUGGACCGUGUCUCAGUUCCAGUGUGGCCGAUCAGCCUCUCAGCUCGGCUACCCAUCGCAGGCUUGGUGGGCUGUUAUCUCACCAACUACCUAAUGGGACGCGAACCCCUCCUUCAGCGGAUUGCUCCUUUGACCUCAUCCCGAUGCCGGGUCGUGGUCUUAUGCGGUAUUAGCACUUGUUUCCAGGUGUUAUCCCCCUCUGAAGGUCAGGUUGUUCACGCGUUACUCACCAGUUCGCCACUAAAAUUUAUCUUCCAUCCGAAAACUUCUGAUAAAUCUCCGUUCGACUUGCAUGUGUUAGGCACGCCGCCAGCGUUCGUCCUGAGCCAUAAUCAAACUCUGA
rnacentral:rRNA from 1 species